ACGGAGGCCGCCCCGGGGGGCCGCGGCGGCCUCACCGCCACCGGUACCGAAUUUCCCUUCCCGGUGUGGGGCCUCAGCUCUCGCCCAGCAACAUCUCUUGGGUGUCAGCGCCCGUGACAGGCAUGGCUCGGGGGUUGCAGCCCCGCCGCAGGUCUCUUUGUUUGUAACCAUCACUUUUGUCCUCCUCGUAAACAAGUCUGCAGCAGACCAAAGACAUCUCAUCUCACAGAUUCAGAACCUGGAAAUCAGAUUUCCCUUCCCAAAUCAGGUUUGUCUUAACAAACCUAUCAGUAAUGAAAACUGUGAGUUCUUCAGUUGUUUAAUGUCCUGGUUUUCCUACAGACACUGUAUGAGGAAUGACAUCAGCAUUGCAUACUCACGUUUGUUGCUAUAAAUAAUGAUGUAUUUCCAACAAAUCAAGAACAUCUUGCUGAAGGAAGCUCAGAUGUGUGCUAGAUUGGUCAUGACCUGCACACUGAUAUUAUUGCCUUUUCUUCUUUGACAGCACAAGGUGUUAUGUUAUGUUAUGUUUUUCUGAACACAAUGGUCUUGCUAUUUCUUUACCCAAUUAUUUGCUGACCGGUAGUAGAUAAGAGUUCUGUAUGCUGCACACUGUAUAAGAUACCAAAGAAAAAAACUGCUUUCAGAUGGCCUUGCAGUGUCUGGAGAACUGCGUCAUUAAUGUAGACAUAGAUAAUAGAGGCACUAACGAGCAUUCUUUAGGAUAAGAUGUAUCAAAACAUGUAGAAGAUAACACUGCGCAGAAUCAUCCGAGAAGGGUCAAACAGCGGACAAGUGAGGAAGACUACGGAAGACCACCGGAGGACUCCUGAAGACCACCAGAGACCUCAAAUAUGCCUGCAUGAGGGACAUUUGCAUAUGAUAAUGAGUUCCCAGAAAACUAAUGAAUAGGUAAAACUUUUCUUGGCAAUCUAAUGAAUAUGUAUAUAGAACCUGUAGAUAAACUAUGGAAUUAACCUGAUCACGCGCCCACAAUAGGAGGAGAGAUCCCCUGUGUGCCCAGCACUGCAAUAAAGGAUACCUGCUUAAUAGUC